rnacentral:rRNA from 1 species
UUCCUACGGGAGGCAGCAGUGGGGAAUAUUGCACAAUGGGGGAAACCCUGAUGCAGCGACGCCGCGUGAGCGAAGAAGUAUUUCGGUAUGUAAAGCUCUAUCAGCAGGGAAGAAAAAUGACGGUACCUGAGUAAGAAGCACCGGCUAAAUGCGUGCCAGCAGCCGCGGUAAUACGUAUGGUGCAAGCGUUAUCCGGAUUUACUGGGUGUAAAGGGAGCGCAGGCGGUGCGGCAAGUCUGGAGUGAAAUGCCGGGGCUCAACCCCGGAACUGCUUUGGAAACUGUGCGGCUCGAGUGCGGGAGAGG